rnacentral:rRNA from 1 species
AUUGAACGCUGGCGGCAUGCUUUACACAUGCAAGUCGAGCGGCAGCGCGGGGGCAACCCUGGCGGCGAGCGGCGAACGGGUGAGGAAUACAUCGGAACGUGUCCCGUAGUGGGGGAUAGCUCGGCGAAAGCCGGAUUAAUACCGCAUAUGCUCUACGGAGGAAAGCCGGGGAUCUGUCACAGGACCUGGCGCUAUGGGAGCGGCCGAUGUCCGAUUAGCUAGUUGGGAGGUAAAGGCUCACCAAGGCGACGAUCGGUAGCUGGUCUGAGAGGAUGAUCAGCCACACUGGGACUGAGACACGGCCCAGACUCCUACGGGAGGCAGCAGUGGGGAAUUUUGGACAAUGGGGCAACCCUGAUCCAGCCAUGCCGCGUGCGGGAAGAAGGCCUCGG